rnacentral:rRNA from 1 species
UACGGAGGAUCCGAGCGUUAUCCGGAUUUAUUGGGUUUAAAGGGAGCGUAGGCGGGUUGUUAAGUCAGUUGUGAAAGUUUGCGGCUCAACCGUAAAAUUGCAGUUGAUACUGGCAUCCUUGAGUACAGUAGAGGUAGGCGGAAUUCGUGGUGUAGCGGUGAAAUGCUUAGAUAUCACGAAGAACUCCGAUUGCGAAGGCAGCCUGCUGGACUGUAACUGACGCUGAUGCUCGAAAGUGUGGGGAUCAAACAGG